AGAGAAAGACGACUUUGACUAUAGCAUCAAUCCUUUGCGUUUGCUAGCUGUCAUUUUUUUUUAAACCCUUAAUAGUAUCUCUAAAAGAGUCUCGUAGCUCAGCCGGUUAGAGCGCUACACUGAUAAUGUAGAGGUCGGCAGUUCGAGUCUGCCCGAGACUACUAUAUUCCAUUUUGGAAAAAAAGGGGGGAUUAGCUCAGCUGGCUAGAGCGCCUGCCUUGCACGCAGGAGGUCAUCGGUUCGACUCCGAUAUUCUCCACAAAUUCUUAAUGUAAAUUAAGAUUAAGAGUUCAUUGACAUAUUGAAAAUAUCAAGUACAAUUCAGAAAUUAUUCAGUUAUCCAAUUUAAUAGUUUUUUGAGAUUGUACAGAGUUAACGUAAAUAUGUAUUUAAUACUGUUAUUAUUAAAUACAAAAUAAUUUUACAAUUUAAGAAAGAGUUAAGAGUUACUUGUAACUUUUUAAAGUUAC
rnacentral:tRNA from 1 species